UCUGCACAUUGUUAGAGCCUGGAGUUGAGGCUACUGGAUGAUAAACCUCUAAGUGUAGGUAGUGUGCUACCUGGAGCCAAGUUUUCACUAACACUGCAGGGCUCUUUAGCCCAAUGAGUGGAGUUGGAUACUAAUACUUGCUUACAAGC
ensembl:snoRNA SNORA62 Small nucleolar RNA SNORA62/SNORA6 family